AAUCAACGCUGGCGGCGUGCCUAACACAUGCAAGUCGAACGCGAAAGCCCCGCAAGGGGUAAGUAGAGUGGCGCACGGGUGAGUAACACGUGGAUAACCUGCCUUUGAGUGGGGAAUAACCUUCCGAAAGGAGGGCUAAUACCGCAUAACACCUUCAGACAAAAGUACCAGGGGUUAAAAGGAAGCAAUUCGCUUAAAGAGGGGUCCGCGCCUGAUUAGCUUGUUGGCGGGGGUAAUGGCCCACCAAGGCUUCGACAGUAGCCGUCCUGAGAGGGAGCACGGCCACACUGGAACUGAGACACGGUCCAGACUCCUACGGGAGGGCAGCAGUGGGGAAUUUUGGUCAAUGGGCGAAAGCCUGACCAAGCAACGCCGCGUGGGUGAUGAAGUAUCUUGGUACGUAAAACCCUUUCGGCAGGGACGAACUCAAUGACGGUACCUGCGGAACGAAGCCCCGGCUAACUCCGUGCCAGCAGCCGCUGUAAC
rnacentral:rRNA from 1 species